ensembl:snoRNA
GAGCAAUGAUGAAAAGGUUUUAGUACUGAAUUUUGUCACUAUGAAGGUUUCUACACUUGACCUGAGCUCA